rnacentral:rRNA from 1 species
UAUCUCUGUAGAGUCUGCAUAUCAAUAAGCGGAGGAAAAGAAACUAACAAGGAUUCCCUUAGUAACGGCGAGUGAAGCGGGAAGAGCUCAAAUUUGAAAUCUUCAAGGUUCUACCUUGACGAAUUGUAGUUUAAAGAAGUGUUUUCUGUUAGAUGAGUAGCAAAAGUUCCUUGGAAUGGGACAUCAUAGAGGGUGAGAAUCCCGUAUUUGGUUAUUCAUUCUAGCUUUGUGAUACACUUUCAAAGAGUCGGAUUGUUUGGGAAUGCAGUCCAAAAUGGGUGGUAAAUUUCAUCUAAAGCUAAAUAUUGGCGAGAGACCGAUAGCGAACAAGUACCGUGAGGGAAAGAUGAAAAGAACUUUGAAAAGAGAGUUAAACAGUACAUGAAAUUGUCAAAAGGGAAGCGUUUGACACCAGUGUUGUUUUUCCGAAAAUCAAUUACGAAUGGCUUGAUUUUGUGUUGUAUUGACCUUAUCAGCUUUCUGCACUUUUUUCGAGUCUUUCUUAAUGCACUUUUCGGUUAACAAGUCAACAUCAAUUUCUUUUGUUGUAAAAGAGUAUUCGGAAGGUGGCUUUCUUUUCGGAGAAAGUGUUUAUAGCCCUAUACUUCUACAAUCGGAGAGAUUGAGGUCUGCAGCGUAGAUCCUUCGGGGUUAGAUACACUUGUGCUAAGUUGUAGCUUUUCAUAGACAACUUGUUGACUAUGUUUAGUCAUGCGGCUUACUCGCUUAUGCUAUUUUACCUACGCUUAGGAUGUUGACUGAUAUGUAGUCGU